rnacentral:rRNA from 1 species
UACGAAGGGGGCUAGCGUUGCUCGGAAUUACUGGGCGUAAAGCGCACGUAGGCGGCCUUCUAAGUCGGGGGUGAAAUCCUGGAGCUCAACUCCAGAACUGCCUUUGAUACUGGAAGAUCUUGAGUCGGGAGAUGGUGAGUGGAACUGCGAGUGUAGAGGUGAAAUUCGUAGAUAUUCGCAAGAACACCAGUGGCGAAGGCGGCUCACUGGCCCGAGUACUGACGCUGAGGCACGAAAGCGUGGGGAGCAACAGG